CCUACGGGUGGCAGCAGUGAGGAAUAUUGGUCAAUGGCCGUAAGGCUGAACCAGCCAAGUCGCGUGAGGGAAGAAUGGUCUAUGGUUUGUAAACCUCUUUUAUGGGGGAAUAAAGGUAUCCACGUGUGGAUAUUUGCAUGUACCCUAUGAAUAAGGAUCGGCUAACUCCGUGCCAGCAGCCGCGGUAAUACGGAGGAUGCGAGCGUUAUCCGGAUUUAUUGGGUUUAAAGGGAGCGUAGGUUGUUUUGUAAGUCGGCGGUGAAAGUUUGUGGCUCAACCAUAAGAUUGCGGUUGGAACUGGAAGACUUGAGUGUGUGUGAGGUAGGCGGAAUUCGUGGUGUAGCGGUGAAAUGCAUAGAUAUCACGAAGAACCCCGAUUGCGAAGGCAGCUUACUGAACUGUGACUGACGUUGAUGCUCGAAAGUGUGGGUAUCGAACAGGAUUAGAUACCCUUGUAGUC
rnacentral:rRNA from 1 species